rnacentral:lncRNA from 1 species
CCUUCCCCAUAUAUUCCCCUGCUCCAACCUCUGUUUUUGCUCUUUCAUAUUUCACUUUCAGAAUUCAUAAAAAAUCAUCAGAAAUGGAAAUUCCGGCGACGAACAAUAAGAUGAACGGACGGAAAAUAAGUGUCCCACCGAGACGAGGUGAAGUUAAAGUUGCGAUUUUUAAGAAACUGUUGAAAUCAGUUGUCAUGAUGAUGGGCGAUUUGGGGAAGAAAAUUGGAAAUUGCCUCAUUAGUCCAGAUGAAGAUGAAGCUUAAUAAAUAUUGAUUCUUAUCAUUUUCUUAAAAUUCAAUCUUUUUUUGUCCAUUUCCACCUACACAACACAGCUUUAAACUGGAAACUCUCUUACUUACGUAUCUCGGUAUUUAUUUUAGCUACUUUUAGUUUAUUUUUGUUUGCUCUGCACAGUAUAUCAUACUGUUGUACGUACCACUUCACUUCCUUUCUGUUAUGCUAGCAAGAAAUAACAUCUUCUUCUCUUACGUUGAUUAGCUUAUAUACAUACGAGUACUAGUUUUUUGUUAUGUUUAUUAAAUUGUUCUAAAGUUAUUUUAGUACUAAUUAACUAGGACUAGUUGAUUUUUCUUU